UUAAGCUGUUUUUCUCCUUAAAGAUACUGUACCUGUUCUUCUGAUUUGCUUUCUGCUUUCAUUCCUUUCGUCUUCCUGUUAGUUCAGCACUGGAGUGAAUUCCCAUCUCAAUGAACAGCCAAUAUUCUAAGCCAAAGCCUUCUCACACCCACUCACUUACAUUGCCUUAAAACACCCACAGCCUGGUAACUGUGAAAUGCUACUCUGGCAGCUCUGCUAUCAAUCCACACAGAGCCCUGGUGCUGUUUCCUGGAGACCAGAGAAGCUUCUCAUGAAUGUAGCUGAACUGGAAGCACCAUAACGAAUCCUGCCUGCUUAAAACUGAUCAUACACACCUCUGCAUCUUGUCACCCUCUGACUGUGGACAGCUUAUUACCCUCUGACUUAUGUGUACUGUGUCUUUUCUAUGAAAUGAAGACAAUAAAAGCAUCUGCCUCAUAAAGUGUUAAUGAGGACUAAAUGAGAUUACGUUGGUAAAAGACUCAUCUACAGUAUUAAAUUAUCUACAUCGCUCAA